GAUGAACGCUGGCGGCGUGCCUAAUACAUGCAAGUCGAGCGAACAGACGAGGAGCUUGCUCCUCUGACGUUAGCGGCGGACGGGUGAGUAACACGUGGAUAACCUACCUAUAAGACUGGGAUAACUUCGGGAAACCGGAGCUAAUACCGGAUAAUAUAUUGAACCGCAUUGUUCAAUAGUGAAAGACGGUUUUGCUGUCACUUAUAGAUGGAUCCGCGCCGCAUUAGCUAGUUGGUAAGGUAACGGCUUACCAAGGCGACGAUGCGUAGCCGACCUGAGAGGGUGAUCGGCCACACUGGAACUGAGACACGGUCCAGACUCCUACGGGAGGCAGCAGUAGGGAAUCUUCCGCAAUGGGCGAAAGCCUGACGGAGCAACGCCGCGUGAGUGAUGAAGGUCUUCGGAUCGUAAAACUCUGUUAUUCGGGAAGAACAAAUGUGUAAGUAACUAUGCACGUCUUGACGGUACCUAAUCAGAAAGCCACGGCUAACUACGUG
rnacentral:rRNA from 1 species